UUGGGCAUCUUUUUAUUUUUAAAAAACCUUUUUCGGAAGGUAUGCUUAAAGAGGGGCUUGCGUCACAUUAGUUAGUUGGCAGGGUAAAGGCCUACCAAGACUAUGAUGUGUAGCUGGACUGAGAGGUUGAACAGCCACAUUGGGACUGAGACACGGCCCAAACUCCUACGGGAGGCAGCAGUAGGGAAUUUUCGGCAAUGGAGGAAACUCUGACCGAGCAACGCCGCGUGAACGAUGAAGUAUUUCGGUAUGUAAAGUUCUUUUAUUGAAGAAGAAAAAAUAGUGGAAAAACUAUCUUGACGAUAUUCAAUGAAUAAGCCCCGGCAAACUAUGUGCCAGCAGCCGCGGUAAUACAUAGGGGGCGAGCGUUAUCCGGAAUUAUUGGGCGUAAAGGGUGCGUAGGCGGUUUAAUAAGUCUAUAGUUUAAUUUCAGUGCUUAACACUGUCCUGCUAUAGAAACUAUUAGACUAGAGUGAGAUAGAGGCAAGUGGAAUUCCAUGUGUAGCGGUAAAAUGCGUAAAUAUAUGGAGGAACACCAGAGGCGUAGGCGGCUUGCUGGGUCUUUACUGACGCUGAGGCACGAAAGCGUGGGGAGCAAACAGGAUUAGAUACCCUGGUAGUCCACGCCGUAAACGAUGAGUACUAAGUGUCGGGAUUACUCGGUACUGAAGUUAACACAUUAAGUACUCCGCCUGAGUAGUACGUACGCAAGUAUGAAACUUAAAGGAAUUGACGGGACUCCGCACAAGCGGUGGAUCAUGUUGUUUAAUUCGAAGAUACACGAAAAACCUUACCAGGUCUUGACAUACUCUGCAAAGCUAUAGCAAUAUAGUGGAGGUUAUCAGGGAUACAGGUGGUGCAUGGUUGUCGUCAGCUCGUGUCGUGAGAUGUUAGGUUAAGUCCUAAAACGAGCGCAACCCUUGUCAUUAGUUGCCAGCAUGUCAUGAUGGGCACUUUAAUGAGACUGCCAAUGAAAAAUUGGAGGAAGGUGAGGAUCACGUCAAAUCAUCAUGCCCCUUAUGAUCUGGGCUACAAACGUGAUACAAUGGCUGUUACAAAGAGUAGCUGAAACGCAAGUUUAUAGCCAAUCUCAUAAAAGCAGUCUCAGUUCGGAUUGAAGUCUGCAACUCGACUUCAUGAAGUUGGAAUCGCUAGUAAUCGCGAAUCAGCAUGUCGCGGUGAAUACGUUCUCGGGGUUU
rnacentral:rRNA from 1 species